GUUUAGCCAGUGGCGCAUGCGUGGUUACCGCUUCCGCAACGUACCUAGCCAUCUUUCCAAGUCAAGCAAAAGUGAUUGUUUUCAACCUUACUCUUAUUUAACUGAACUUUUAUUAAUGUCAGAGCCACAGUCCGCGCUGUUACUACGAAAACAAUUAGCAGAAUUAAAUAAAAACCCAGUAGAAGGGUUUUCUGCAGGCCUCAUAGACGACAAUGACAUAUAUCGAUGGGAAGUGCUUAUUAUUGGACCUCCGGAUACAUUAUAUGAGGGUGGUUUUUUUAAAGCACAUUUACAGUUUCCAAAAGAAUACCCACUUAGGCCACCAAAAAUGAAAUUUAUAACUGAGAUAUGGCAUCCAAAUAUUGACAGAAAUGGAGAUGUUUGUAUAUCAAUAUUGCACGAACCUGGUGAUGACAAGUGGGGAUAUGAAAAAGCAUCAGAACGGUGGUUACCAGUUCACACAGUCGAGACUAUCUUGAUAAGUGUUAUUAGUAUGCUUGCAGAUCCUAACGAUGAAAGUCCUGCUAAUGUGGAUGCCGCCAAAGAGUGGAGAGAAAGUUAUACGGAAUUUAAACGAAAGGUGGCGAGGUGCGUGAGAAAAAGCCAAGAGGAAUGUUUGUAGGGGAUGAACAAAUAUUCAAAUGGAAAGACUUAUUUAAUUCUGGAUUUGGCGUGCGUGAAAAUUUUGCUGCUCAAUAACUUUCAGUCACUAAAUUUGUGUUGAACGAGCGUAGAUGAUAAUUACAAAAAAUGCAGUUUUACAAAAAUAUAUAUUUCCUAGCUCGAUAUAUAUAUUGAUAGAGGAUCAAGUUUUUAGUAUUACCUCUUCGAUGGUUCAGUUGCUCGAUUCACGUCCCGCUACAGCAGUUUAAGUUUCCCGCCGCACAUAUACUCUGCCGUGACUCCGCCGUAACAUCGGUUAGUUUAAAACGAUACUCCGCAACGAAAGCAGAGGAUUUUUCUUACGCACCUCGAAAACGUGUGCCGCAUUCCGGUUAUGGAACACGUCAUUAUAACAAUCCGAUGUAAGUGUGAAUUCCUUCGAGCCAGAAACUUCACAAUUUAGAGACAAAACAUCGACAAGGUAAGAAAAAUAAAUGAAAGAUUAAGAUCGUCAACUAUACGAGAUGUAAUAUAUGUGAAGUAAAAUUCUAAAUUUUACUUCAAUGUCUUGAAGAUAUAUGUAUGGACUUACGACAAAGUAUAUUAUAUACAUUUUUUGAAAUCGUAUUUUUACGGAUAUUGCUUAAAUUUAAAUCUAAAUUUAUCGAUAAGAGGUUAUUACACAAUGAAAUGAAGAGCUUAUUACACAAUGAAAUGAGAGAAUUGUGUUCAGUGUUAACCUGAGUAUGAUGGUUUUCGUAGCGUGUAAUUAUACCAUAUUAUACAUCAAAUAUGUCCAGAUAUAUCAGUGAUUAGAGAUAAUCGACGAUGCUAUCGUUUUUCAAUUAUUUCCGGAGCUAUCGAGUCCAUUUCUCAUAUAGUAAAAUUUGCUCAAGGCUGGUGCUUUUUCUAUAAUAUUAAUAUCUAUUAAUCUGUUGAUUAUAAAAUGAUUUAUAUCAGAUUUAGACACAGAGAUAUACAUUUACGUCCGUUGCGCACAUUUAAUAACAAUUAAUAUAAUAAAUAGACA